rnacentral:rRNA from 2 species
ACGCUGGCGGCAGGCCUAACACAUGCAAGUCGAGCGGUAGAGAGAAGCUUGCUUCUCUUGAGAGCGGCGGACGGGUGAGUAAUGCCUAGGAAUCUGCCUGGUGAAGGGGGAUAAUGUUCGAAACGGACGCUAAUACCGCAUACGUCCUACGGGAGAAAGCAGGGGACCUUCGGGCCUUGCGCUAUCAGAUGAGCCUAGGUCGGAUUAGCUAGUUGGUGAGGUAAUGGCUCACCAAGGCAACGAUCCGUAACUGGUCUGAGAGGAUGAUCAGUCACACUGGAACUGAGACACGGUCCAGACUCCUACGGGAGGCAGCAGUGGGGAAUAUUGGACAAUGGGCGAAAGCCUGAUCCAACCAUGCCGCGUGUGUGAAGAAGGUCUUCGGAUGUGUAAAGCACUUUAAGUUGGGAAGUUGUAACCUAAUACGUUGCAAUUUUGACGUUACCGACAGAAUAAGCACCGGCUAACUCUGUGCCCAGAAAGCACCGGCUAACUCGCCAGAGGCGGUACAGAGGCAGCGUUAAUCGGAAUUACUGGGCGUAAAGCGCGCGUAGGUGGUUCGUUAAGUUGGAUGUGAAAUCCCCGGGCUCAACCUGGGAACUGCAUUCAAAAAUGU